CAGGGAGACAACGAAAUGUUUAAUAUUAUUAUUUUGUCACCUUAGGUCGAUCGGUAUCUCACAUUCUUAAUAUAUUAAGGAUUUUAUUUCCUAAGUUUUUUCUAGGUCACACCCAUUACUUUUCCUGGGCCAUUAGCUCAGGUGGUUAGAGCGCACCCCUGAUAAGGGUGAGGUCCCUGGUUCAAGUCCAGGAUGGCCCAUAUCUCUAUGUUGGGGGUAUAGCUCAGUUGGUAGAGCGCCUGCUUUGCAAGCAGGAUGUCAGCGGUUCGAGUCCGCUUACCUCCACUGAUUACCACCUCUUCCAUAAUUAUUAAGGAAAUGUUUUGAGUAGUGAUCAAAUUCUGAACGAAUCUAGCUUCCUAAUGAAUUCAUUAAGAUGCUGGACUCAUUGAAUUAUUUUCAUUGUUUUCAGAGAACCUUGACAACUGCAUAGAUUAUUUUUAAAGACAAUAAGCAUCUUUAUGAUGCAGAUUUAUUAUUUGUGCGAAUGCAUUAAUAACAAUUCUAUUAAGCUGAUGCUUUAAUUAUGAAGUUAUU
rnacentral:tRNA from 1 species